AUUGAACGCUGGCGGCAUGCCUAACACAUGCAAGUCGAACGGCAGCACGGUCUAGCUUGCUAGAUGGGUGGCGAGUGGCGCACGGGUGAGUAACGCGUAGGAAUAUGCCUUGAAGUGGGGGAUAACUUGGGGAAACUCAAGCUAAUACCGCAUAAGCUCUUAGGAGGAAAGCUGGGGACCGUAAGGCCUGGCGCUUCAAGAUUAGCCUGCGUCCGAUUAGCUAGUUGGUGGGGUAAGGGCCUACCAAGGCGACGAUCGGUAGCUGGUAUGAGAGGAGUGCCAGCCACACUGGGACUGAGACACGGCCCAGACUCCUACGGGAGGCAGCAGUGGGGAAUAUUGGACAAUGGGGGCAACCCUGAUCCAGCAAUGCCGCGUGUGUGAAGAAGGCCUGAGGGUUGUAAAGCACUUUCAGUGGGGAGGAGGAUUGACAGGUUAGGAGCUAGUUAAUUGGACGUUACCCACAGAAGAAGCACCGGCUAACUCCGUGCCAGCAGCCGCAGUAA
rnacentral:rRNA from 1 species